AGUAGAGGUUAAAGAGAAAGGAAGUGAUGGAUUGGCAUAGUAGGGGUUAAAGAGAAAGGAAGUGAUGGAUUGGCAUAGUAGAGGUUAAAGAGAAAGGAAGUAAUGGAUUGGCAUAGUAGAGGUUAAAAAGAGAGGAAGUGAUGGAUUGGCAUAGUAGGGGUUAAAGAGAAAGGAAGUGAUGGAUUGGCAUAGUAGGGGUUAAAGAGAAAGGAAGUGAUGGAUUGGCAUAGUAGGGGUUAAAGAGAAAGGAAGUGAUGGAUUGGCAUAGUAGAGGUUAAAAAGAGAGGAAGUGAUGGAUUGGCAUAGUAGGGGUUAAAGAGAAAGGAAGUGAUGGAUUGGUAUAGUAGGGGUUAAAGAGAAAGGAAGUGAUGGAUUGGCAUAGUAGAGGUUAAAGAGAAAGGAAGUGAUGGAUUGGCAUAGUAGGGGUUAAAGAGAAAGGAAGUGAUGGAUUAUCAUAGUAGGGGUUAAAGAGAAAGGAAGUGAUGGAUUGGCAUAGUAGAGGUUAAAGAGAAAGGAAGUGAUGGAUUGGCAUAGUAGGGGUUAAAGAGAGAGGAAGUGAUGGAUUGGCAUAGUAGGGGUUAAAGAGAAAGGAAGUGAUGGAUUAUCAUAGUAGGGGUUAAAGAGAAAGGAAGUGAUGGAUUAUCAUAGUAGGGGUUAAAGAGAGAGGAAGUGAUGGAUUGGCAUAGUAGGGGUUAAAGAGAAAGGAAGUGAUGGAUUGGCAUAGUAGGGGUUAAAGAGAAAGGAAGUGAUGGAUUGGCAUAGUAGAGGUUAAAAAGAGAGGACGUGAUGGAUUGGCAUAGUAGAGGUUAAAAAGAGAGGAAGUGAUGGAUUGGCAUAGUAGGGGUUAAAGAGAAAGGAAGUGAUGGAUUGGCAUAGUAGGGGUUAAAGAGAAAGGAAGUGAUGGAUUGGCAUAGUAGAGGUUAAAAAGAGAGGAAGUGAUGGAUUGGCAUAGUAGAGGUUAAAGAGAAAGGAAGUGAUGGAUUGGCAUAGUAGAGGUUAAAGAGAAAGGAAGUGAUGGAUUGGCAUAGUAGAGGUUAAAGA